rnacentral:rRNA from 1 species
UACAGAGGUCUCAAGCGUUGUUCGGAUUCAUUGGGCGUAAAGGGUGCGUAGGCGGCGCGGUAAGUCGGGUGUGAAAUCUCGGAGCUUAACUCCGAAACUGCAUUCGAUACUGCCGUGCUUGAGGACUGGAGAGGAGACUGGAAUUUACGGUGUAGCGGUGAAAUGCGUAGAUAUCGUGAGGAAGACCAGUUGCGAAGGCGAAUCUCUGGGCAGUUCCUGACACUGAGGCACGAAGGCCAGGGGAGCAAACGGG